GCCCUUGUAGCUCAAUGGUAGAGCAGUGGCCUUUUAAGCCAUUGGUUGAAGGUUCGAGUCCUUCCGGGGGCACCA
rnacentral:tRNA from 2 species